UCCCCUGUCGGUCAUUAAUGUUGUCAUAUGUGGUUUGCUGUGAUGUAUAACCAACCGUGACAGAAUGACCGACCAAACCGUUGACCUAGCAGGCAAGUUCUUUGAUUUUUAUGGCGAUUUGCCCGUACACCUAAUGCCCUUCUGGGAGGAUGGAGGGGCCAGUGAGGAGGACUGGCCAGGUCCCUCUACAGCUCCCUCUCCAGCCCCGAGUCAGGCUCCUGUGUUGGCUCAAGCUCCGGCUCCUGGUCCUGCUCUGACUCCAGCCCCAGUCAGACUCCUGCACCGGCUCAAGCUCCAGUCCCGACUCUGGCUCCAGUCCCGACACCGGCACCUGCAGCCCAGUCGCUGGACCAGCCGCCCCUGACCAGUCGUCCACCCGACCGCCCGCCUAUGUUCUGUUGUCCACCCGGCCGCCCGCCUGACCCUCCUGCCUUGGCCCCCUCCGCCCACCCUGUUUGGACUUUUCCUUUUUUUGUUUUGGGCUGUCUGGAAUCCGGCCCUUAAGGGUGUGGGGGGUACUGUAAGGAUCCUGUCUUGUCUUGUUUUCCCGGUCUAGUGUUUUUCCCAUCAUGUCUGCUCCUCUUCUGUCUUCCUACUUGCUUUGUUUACUUCCUGUGCCUUGUGCUCCUUUGUUUGUUUGCCAUGUGUCUCUGUUCCAUGUGCCUGUGUCUCCUCACCUGAUCCUUGUUAGUUUAAUUAUGGUUUCCACCUGAGUCUUGUUCCUUGUUCACCUGUGCCCUGUUAACCUCUGUGUUAACCUCAGUCCCCUGUCGGCCAUUUGUUUUGUUAUACGUGGUUUGCUGUGAUGUCAUGUCGUAUUAAAAGAUUCGUUUUCUUCAAA